CUCAGGGCUCCACAAUUCGUGGUAUUUUUCCACCAUGUGGGGCAAAACAGGGAUUCAGUAUUAGGGUCUCUUGAACAAUUACAUGAAAAAGACCAACAUAGUUCAGCGCCUGUUACAUUAAUUGUCUUCAGGGCUAGAGGAGGCUUGCCUACCAGUGGGUUGAAGGCAUAAGAAUAUAGUUGUAGAGGUUUAUGGGGUCUAUGGGUAUGUAGGUACUUCCUCAACAGUGGGAUGGGGGUAUGGACAGCUAUAAGACAGGAUUCUAUGGCAUUUUCAGUACUGAGGAGAGGGUUGAGGAAAAAAGAGGUUAAAUUAAAAGCCUUUGCUAUCUGCAACCAUAUAUUUUCCUGCCAUGCAUUAUUAUUUUCUGGUCUCAAGUUAGAGUAGCACAUCCGAACACAGCAUAAAAUGGUAAAGGAUAAGCUUCAUGUCGGUGGAUCAGUCGGAGUGACUUGUUUACAGUGACUGGCGUGUAUCCACGUGGCUAUUCC